rnacentral:lncRNA from 1 species
AUGACCGCCAAAACAAUCCAUCCCUCACGCGGUUUCUCUCAUUCUCCUCCUUCCCUCUCUGUCGCCACUGAUAUUCAAAGAUCUUCAAUCCAUCAAUUCGAAUCAAGAAACCCUAAAUCUAUUUCGCGAUUCCACUUUGGCGACUAAUCUCUCCGACAUUCCCUGCCACCUUUGUUUGAUCGACUUCUUCUUCAUCUCGGUAAGGUAAUUUAUCUUCUUGAAUCCAUUAUAUUGUUUAAUUAAUCAUGUAUUUAUAUAUGUUACACUGAUAUUUGUUUAUGUUUUUCUUAGAUUUCAUCUAUGUUUGAGUUUUUGUUGUACGAUUUUCCCAAAUUUGGGGUUUAUUCUAAAGAUUAGUAACCCUAACUUUAUAAUUUCUUGAGUAUUGUAAAGAUUAGUAACCCUAACAUUAAAUAUAUAUAAUGCUGGGAAUCUCAGUUGUGAGAUAAAGGUUCCAGUGGGUUGUGAAUUGAGUGGUAGGCUACACUUCUUUUCGUGUUUUCUUUCGUGGGAUGAGUUUUUGUUCUUGGUAGGUUCCGUAUAUUAUUUUUUUCUACAGAUUCUGUGAAGAACUUUUGAUUUUAAUUGGAAACUGUUAUCUGUUACGGAGUAUUUGACGACGAAAUCGGUGAAUACGAGAGGUUGAUUGGAAAGCGAUGUCGGAACCAGCGUCGGAUUGUAGGUUCAGUGACGGCGAUAUGACAAUGUUUUAUAGAUCUGUAUCGUUGAGUGGAUUUUGGUCGAAGCAUCGCGAUGACGUUGGCUGCAAUUAACUCCAGAAGGGUAGUGAUUAGUGAAUGAACAACUUAGUUAAAGUGUCUUUGUUCGGUGGUUGCGAAUUUUGGCCAAAUAUCGAAGACAUGGAUGCACAAGAGGUAGGGAUGCCAGAACCAGUGUCUGAUUGUAGGUUCAGUGACGGCGAUACGACAAUGUUUUAUAGAUCUGUAUCGUUGAGUGGAUUUUGGUCGAAGCAUCGCGAUGACGUUGGCUGCAAUUAACACCAGAAGGGUAGUGAUCAGUGAAUGAACAGCUUAGUUAAAGGUAUUUUUUGCAUUUUUAAGAGAGAUAUCUAUCUUAAAUUCCAUUAUAUGCAUUCAAACUAUAUUUUAUAAUUUUUGUGUCAUGCUAAUGAAAGUAUGAUAUUUAGUGUCUUUGUAAGUUUUGUUUCAGAUCCGGGUAUCAAGUCAUCAGACUUUGUAAGUUUGUAACCAAUAUCAAUCGAAUACUGAUUGAUAUCAUUGCACAUCUGUUUUGCAUCUUAUCAGAGUUUUGUUUCCAAAUUCUUUAGCUAUCAACAUCUUUAAUUAUUUUAGAUGUUAUGCCUUACUGAUCCUGAUAACUAAUUAUCUUGGUUCAUGUCAUUUUUCGUAUUUGAGUUUUGAGAUCAAACAAAUUUUCUUUGGUUUGAUAGUUGAUUUUAGUUCUUUGAAUUUUAUAAAAGAGUAAUGUAGAGAAUUAACUCAAAAAGUUAUACCUCCCGGAAAAAGAAAUAUGGGCCUGCCAAGAUAAAGUAUAAAUUUCAAAUGGUAUUCAUCCCUAGGGUUUGUUUGUUGUUUUCUUCCCCCAUUGCAAACCGUAGUUAUUUACAAGAGACCUCUGGAAGUUUUAGGUUUGGUCUGUGUGUUGGCGAUCAACACUUACCUGGGAGACAUAAGGCAGCACUGGUUUGGGUGGUUGUCAUUUCGUUGGUUACCUUAUUUGCACCUUACUCCCAAACCAAAACCCUUAGGAUUUAGAAACCGGUUGUGUCCUAUUAACCGGUGGUUUUUGUGUUCUUAUGGGGAUCUGGUUGUUGAGGGUUGGGAUAAUUUUUACAGGUUGACAUCUCCAAUUGGGCAAAUCCUUAUGUUAUGGUGGUCUCCUCUGUUCUGUAUGAUAGAAAUGAGGUUACUGGAUCUUGGUUUAUCGUUCGGUUCUAAGGCUUUGACUGCUAAGAGCUGGGUUCAUCAACUGUGGAAGCAGGGCAGCUAUAAAGACCAUUAUGCCCUCCACUGGCUAAGUAAUUGGGUUGUGUAUGUUUAUAAAAGUAAAGACAGGAAGAAUGGUUUACUGUCCCAUGUGCGUGUGACUGGUAACUGUCUCAAGCCUCUUGGGGUGUGGCUGUUGCUGUUAGCUGGUUGUAUUGGGAUGAUCAGUCAGUUUUCAGCCCCUAAGCGAGGAACUUUUGAGUGCGGGUGGCAUCAUAUAGUGCAGUCGGACUGAAUAGACAAAAACAGCAGGCUUAGCUGCAACAUCAAGGGUAUUGCGGUCUUUUUGCAGCUGUCUGUUGCUAUUACCGUUGUAUGGCUGAUGACAUAGCUGUUGAAGACCAAACACAGGACUUUUGUGCCUACUAAUUGGGCCAGGGGUAAUUCAGUCAUUUGGGGUUGGGUGGGCUUGCUGCAGGUUUUGAGAAUUAAAUACAUGGUGCACCGAAUAAGUGACCUGUUGUGUGUGCUGCUACAAAGUUUGAGCUUAAAGUUUAGAGCUGAUAUUAUGAUGCUGCUGGGUCUUAAUGCAGCCUCAAACUACAUAUAUACGGCUGUUAAGAGCUUGCCGCAUUAGAAUAUCAUCGAAUUCUGCAGUAAGAAUGUCUAAUGCUUUUAAGUGUAACUGUCAGAACAAGACAUACCAAGGCUGGAAGUUUCAGCAUAUCUUCAACAUUUUGGACAUGACUUACAUCAGGUUUUUAGGGGCUGCGUGGAUGGUUAAACAAUCUCAAAAGGGUGUUUCAGGGCUGAGAACUCUGUAUAAACAACCACGGUAAGUGUCAGUAAAGGCUGCCAAAACAGAUCAUGAACGAGAAGACAACAAUGAGUGUUUCGGGGCUGAAUUGAGGUGUAUGAACCAUUGAACCAUGGGUCUGUAAGUGAAGUUUGGUGUUCUAUCAAGGAUAGCAAGAUGAUAUAUAGCGGUGGCUUGCGAUGGUCGAUCAACUAGAGAGAUAAAGAGUUUGUUUUGCAUAAGAUGUAUACUUCAUCUGAGUUUAAUGGGAUUGUAGGAGUAGAACUUGGAGCUGGCACAGGCUUGGUCGGGAUGCUGCUUGCACGCAUUGCUAAAACAGUCUUUCUGAUGGGUAUUCAUGCAUACACACAUAGCCUUUCUCCCCCUCCUCUUUUUUUUCCGGUAGAGGUGGUAAUAUGGGUUUUAAAAUGCGCUAUCACAAGCGCAUAAUGCGCGAUUACAUGAUGCAAUGAUGAUGCGCUCUAAAUCGCAUAAUGCGCUCCUGAUGCGCUCACAUGAUGCGCACAUUUUUUUGAAAUCGACCACUAUAGAGUAAAAUUGUACAAUGAGCUUAAUAAGUUUGUACAAUGAGAUGAUGAAGUUGUUAAGAUAGUUCCUAGGUAGAUUACUUGUACAGUUGUACCUUUUGCAUAAAUAGCUUUACUAUGAUUUAUUUUAUUGAUUAUUGAUUAUAUGUGUUCUGCUCAAUAUAUGUUAAGGUCAAAAUAGGUUCGGGUCAGUCAAAACGGGUUUUGCUCAAAAUAGGUUAAUGUCAAUAUGUGUUCUGCUCAAUAUACGUUAAGGUCAAAACUGGUUAAAAAUGCUU